GGAGAUGUCAAACUGGAAAAGAAAGAAUGGAUAUUUACAUUUUUCAAAGCCUGCAAGAGGAAAGAGUUGCAUUUUUUGAUUGAGUUUGAGUUUCUCUUCAGCACUUGUCUUGCAAUUCACUUUUUGACCUGCCAGCCUCAAACAACACCCUCUUUCUUCGCAUUAGAAAUGGAAACACGUCCUCUGCAGGAAUUUUCCACUUAAUAGCUCCUGCUUUCCUACCGGGGGCCUCAGUGCACCACCACUGCAAUGCUGUAUUUCUUUCCACUGCAGUUUGACAUUUUGCAGCCAGAACAACGAACGGCAUUCACUCCAUCCUGAUUUUUGAAAAACAUAUCUCUAUAGGCCCACAGAACACACCCAGUGCAGCAAUCACCAGGGGAAAAUGGCAAAGACUUGCUGCCUUUUUCUACCCACCACCUCAGCUUCAUGGAAAUAUCUCCUGGAGGGCUCCAGAGUUUCUGCUGAGUUGAAGGUGCCUCAAUGAUCUGAUUUCUCCUUCAGUGUUUUUAGAGCACCACAUGACCAGCAUUGCUCGGCAACACUGGGAAAUAAGUCUCUGUCACACUUGUUUAAAACAGUCAGGCACCAAAUGACAAGGCAAGCUGGAUGGAGGCUCAAAGACCAGAGGGGUGAAAGCUCUACUUAUCUCUGUGAUUCCCCAGGGGUUCCACUGCAGAGCUAAGCUUGCUGACAAACAGGCCCUGCAGAAGCACUCUCAGUUUGAACAUUAACCACGGUGCAGAGCAUGGAUCCACAGAGGGGUGGGAGAAUAUCUUUGCUGGGCAGAUUUGUAUGUAUUCUGCUAGAUGGAUUAAAAUACAGGUGUCAAGGAAACUUACCCAUGCAGGACCCCCCUCACUUCUGGCAGAAAAUUAGAGGCUUUCCAUAGGUUGACAUGACAUGUCCAGCCACUCUUCUCUCAGAUGGAAGCAUGUAGGUUGGUUGGAAAUACCAUAUUGUAUUGUACCAUGAUGAGGAUAGUUACAUUCAACAGCCUUCUCCAUGCCUCAGUUCCUAUGGAGCACAAUUGUAUAAACACCUAUUAAGUAUCUUAAAACACCCCAGAACAGGCUUAUUUGUAUUUAAAGGUUGUCAAUAAAAAUACUCUAGAUAUUUUAAUAA